rnacentral:rRNA from 1 species
GCGUAUAUUAAGUUGUUGCAGUUAAAAAGCUCGUAGUUGAAUUUCGGGAUCAAUUUGCUGGUCGUGCCUCUGGUACGUACUGGUAUUAUUGGUUUCUCCCUUCUGACGAACCAUGAUGUCAUUAAUUUGAUGUCGUGGAGAAUCAGGACUGUUACUUUGAAAAAAUUAGAGUGUUUAAAGCAGGCAUUAGCUUGAAUACAUUAGCAUGGAAUAAUGAAAUAGGACGUUUGAUCCUAUUUUGUUGGUUUCUAGGAUUGACGUAAUGAUUAAUAGGGAUAGUUGGGGGCAUUAGUAUUCAAUUGUCAGAGGUGAAAUUCUUGGAUUUAUUGAAGACUAACUACUGCGAAAGCAUUUGCCAAGGAUGUUUUCAUUAAUCAAGAACGAAAGUUAGGGGAUCGAAGACGAUCAGAUACCGUCGUAGUCUUAACCAUAAA